rnacentral:rRNA from 1 species
UACGAAGGGGGCUAGCGUUGUUCGGAAUUACUGGGCGUAAAGGGCGCGUAGGCGGCCCGCUAAGUCGAACGUGAAAUCCCUCGGCUCAACCGAGGAACUGCAUCCGAUACUGGCGGGCUUGAAUCCGGGAGAGGGAUGUGGAAUUCCAGGUGUAGCGGUGAAAUGCGUAGAUAUCUGGAAGGAACACCGGUGGCGAAGGCGGCAUCCUGGACCGGUAUUGACGCUGAGGCGCGAAAGCUAGGGGAG